GUCCAGGGAUGGGAAUCGAACCCACAGUGUUCCGCUUACCGGGCAGAUGCCAUGUCCACUAAGAUUUCUUGGA